GUUAACAACUUGUAACAAGCUUGAUGGCAUUAUCAGACUUGUUGCAAGAUUGUUCUAACAAGUCUGAUACAGUCGUGAUAUAACAAGAAUGUUACAAGGUUGACGACACAAGGUUGGAACAACCUUGCAACAAUUAGUCUGAUGAUAUCAACAAGAUUGUUACAAGUUGUUAAC